GACGGAGGGGGCAAGCGUUGUCCGGACUUACUGGGCGUAAAGCGCACGUAGGUGGCCCGAUGCGUCGGUGCUGAAAGCGCCAGGCUUAACCUGGCGAGGCGUGCCGAUACGAUCAGGCUUGAGGCAGGCAGAGGGUGGCGGAAUUCCGGGUGUAGUGGUGAAAUGCGUAGAGAUCCGGAGGAACGCCUGUGGCGAAAGCGGCCACCUGGGCCUGUCCUGACACUGAGGUGCGAAAGCGUGGGGAGCGAAC
rnacentral:rRNA from 1 species